GGCCGAUUGUUCACCGCCGUACUCUAUGUGAUAUCACAAAUGUUCAACAAUCUUCAUAUGUGAUCCCUGGAACUAAUGUUGGGGCAGAUCAUAUGUUGGGGCAGCUAAUCAAACCCACGUGAGAUGAUAAGCACAGGAAAGUUGAUCUUCGUCCCCUUUGUAAUUCAAAUGACCCAGCUAGCUCGGUUGAUACAUCAAUCUCGCAUAAUGAAUCAACAUAUCCUCCUAAAGCUAUGGGCACGUCUGAUGUAAUUGCAGAUAAAAAUAUAGAAGGUAAAAUGAUUGUGCUUUUUCCAUACUCAUUU